CCCAGCGCGCAGGCACCGCCCGUCGGUCCGCUACCUCCGUGACUGCGGACGGACAGCGGUGUCUCCACCUGGAGGCGGGGGAAGCUGUCCGCCCGUUCCGGCCUGCAGCGUCCAGGUGGGAAGCCGGUUAUUCAGGUUUCGCUAGAAGAAAUUCACUCUGGCCGGACCGGAAGUCACUUCACGUCCCAUUCCUGACAGGGCUGCUGCUGGUGACAGAUCCUGGGACCUCUAACAUAAGCCGGCAGAAGAUGAGAAUUCGACCGGUUAGUCUCCCAGAUUUCUGCCUGUAGUAUCAAAUAAACGAGAAUGGUCACAGCUUGGUCACUGAGUGCUCUAAGAAGGCUGCCUUGAACCACCAACAAUGGGUCAGGAUCUUGUACCUGAGAUGGCUGGUUGAUUUUCUUCCGAAAAGACUAUAGAGUUACAGCAGUGUACAGGGAGGUAUCUACCAAAUAAUGCAUGGCAAAAUGAGGAGGCAACUGACAAGCGAAGAGUUUGCGCAGUGGAGAACCACCCUGACCGUCUCUUGACUUUACAGGGAUCGUAGGUGGGACUCCAGGAUCUAUAACUGCCUUCUCACUUUGGAAUCCAAGGCCACCCUGUGAGUGGCAUCUAAAUCUUGCCAGUGACCUUCCUGUACAGGCCCAAGCUCCAUCUCUGACUCUCUCACCAUUUAAGCUGAAGCAUGAUAUGACAGAACCUACAGGGCGAGAAAAGAAGGAAUGCAGGUUAUACAAAAGAGGACUACCAAACACAGACCACAAUUUCAAGCCUGAGAUUCUGCUAAAACUUCCUGCAGAGACAGCUAGACUCUUCAGAACAUCAUAUCUUGUUUGCUGCUUUCUUCAACAGAGAGAAAAUCCCAGACUUUGAUUCAAAUGCUUAUUACGGAAACAGAAAGUUAUACUCCCUAUGUUCAAAGAAAACUGUCACUUUUCCUCUGACAUUGUUGAUAUAACAAACACAUUAUUUAUAAGACAUUAGGUCAAACUUGGCAGAAAAUUUUGGGUCACUUUCUUUUAAAAAAAACUGACUUCAGUUAUUUUUACUUGUGUACAGAAUCAAGAUAAAAGACCUCUGCAUAAACUGACAUUUUAACGUUGAUAUUUGGAAAGAAAGUAGCCUAGAAGUGGCUCUCAGAUGAAGUAUGUAACCACUGCAGAAUUCAUAAGGAAAAACUGCACAGCGGAGAUAUAAUGUCACACAGACUCAAGGAUCCUUUUACACUCAUAUGAUUCAAGAACUGAGAAGAGUAGGGCUGGUCUAUAAAUCUAUCCAUUAACAGCUGAGGACACCUAGGCUCAGGAAUCCUCAUGACUUGGCUGUGAGCUCACACCCAGUGAGAAGACAAGAGGGCCUAGAACCCAGCUUUCAACUCCCAAUCUAGUACACUUCCCAUCACCCUAGUGAGUUAAGUUGUAAGAAGAUGGUAAGGCAGGUUUACUGUCUUCUUAUAACUUAACAUGAGAAUCAUUCAUUCCCAUUUUCAAAAGUGAUAACUUUUAAGUAAUGGAAUAAUAUUUUAGACAUUCUUUUAAACCAAGGUAGUGAUUGCAUUUUAAACUAUCAUAUUUUAAAAACACAUUUUUAAAACUUCAUUUUUGACAGAGUCAACACAGAUUUACUAAAAUCCCUCAAAGUUUUAAAAUCAGUGAUAAAAAGGUAUCCCAUGUUCAGACUUUAAAUGGUGAGCCAAGUAAUUCAGCAACCCAAACUAGUUUCCCUUGAACUAGUUUUUAAAAUUUUAAGCAAUUCAAAAUCUAAAGCCAAAUGGUACACACAUCUACUAUCUUGUGAUUCAGAAUGCUAUAAUACUGUGAUACGCCUGAUUUGUCUUAGUGUUUGAACCAUUAAUCACUAGGAAACCUCAGGAACCUUGGAGUUGCUGUCUCCUGCUCCUGUGAAAUGGACAGGUCAUGGCUAAACUGCUGCUGACAGCACAGAGGUGGUUUGUUGAGAAAGGCUAAGGCUAUGACCAUGAAUUCAUCUAAUAUAAAUCAGUGCAAUGCAACAUGGAUAAGUGAAGAAAGGAAUAACAUGACAUUCUAAGUUAAAAAAAUUAAUUUCGUCACACACUGAAGAUAAAAAUAGCACCUUACUCGUAGGGUUGUAUGGAUUAAUUUUGUUAACACAAGUGAGAACACAGAGUAAGCAUUUGAUAAAGGUUAGCUAUUAUUGUUGUUGUUUUACUGUCAUUAUAAUGAUGUUUUCCAGGUCAAAAUAAUUCCCUGUCAUAAGAAAACAUGAGGGGUUCAUGUCCUUAGCUUUUAUCCAAUACAUCAGAAGAAAAAAUUUUUUCAAGGUUAAACCUGUGAUUGUACAUAUGCCUUCCUAUAAUGAAUUGAAAUUGAAAUGUAUAUGUUAAGUGAAAGCCUAAUGACUCAUAUUUAACUGAAGUAAAACCAUAGUGUAAAAAUAGAAAUAAAUCUCAAUCAGGAAAAUAUUCAGAGAUUUUGAAUAAAAUGAUAUGUGGGAUUUGCUUCAAAAUAAUCAAUGGAUUAAUAGGGAAGAAGAGUGCAGAGAAGUGAGCAAGGGUAUGGACGGAAUAAUAGUAACCACAGGUCAGUAAUUACUGAAGACAGCUAAUGAACACAUGGGGGCUCCUUAAGCUAUUCUCUCUACUUUAGCAUUAUGUUUGAAAUUUCCCAAAUAGGAAGUUUUUUAAAAAAGAGAUAACUUCUAAUUGAUAGCUGGCUUAGAUUCAAUUCUUCAGUGCAAAGCCAUGGAAACAGUAAAAAAAAAUUUGCUUAAAAAUUGUAUAUACACAUGCACACACACGUACAUAUAUGUACAUGUGUGCAUAUAUGUAAUUUGAAAUAUAUGUAUAUUUGUUUGUAUAUAUACACACACAUACAUAUGUGGGUGUGUAUUUGAAACAGAUUUCUACCGGUUUCUAAGCCAAGGUCUCUUACGUAACACUAUAGCAAAACUAUUAGUGUUAUAUAUUCACAUUAGAAAGUAAAGCAUACCAUCUUGGUUAUUGGUAAAUCUUGACUUAUAUAGCCUUCUAGCUCUUUAGGUUAGGUAUCUGUUUAUUAGGGGUUGGAGGAAAAGUUAAUGAUCCAUAUCCCAAACAUUGAUUUCCACUGAUCUCUACUAGCUAAGAGUAGGCAAACAUUAAAGUAUAUUUCACACCAGUGUAUGAAGGACUAAGUAAUGCCCUUUAUGAAGUCUAUUUCCCUAAGUUGGUCUAUGAUGUAAGAAAUUUCCAUGUUACACGAAGUGAACAUCUUCAGGCAGUUAGUGAAGUACAUCUGGAAAGGGCUGGCCCACUUGGGUAGGCUUGUCCUGCUUGGGAGGGAGUCUGCCUGAGGUCAGUGCCCCAAGCCAGUGGUUCACAUUCACAGUCACCUGGGGGAGCUCUGUAAUAAUGCAGAUUCCCAGCCUCUACCCAAGACUUAUUGAAUCAGAAUUUUCAGAAGUGGGAUCCACAAAUCUGUAAUUUGAAAGACUUUCACUUUUCCUCAUUUCUGAUUCUGAGUGCUUAGGAUUUCUGUUUCUGUUUUUUAAAAUGUGUGAAUACAACUGCUCACAAGGAGAGAUGGGGAGGCUCAGGCAAUGGGGAAGGGACAGAUGGGGUGCAGUGGCAGUAGACGUCUGUGUGAAUGGAUUAUUAAGGUCAAGGACUGCUUCUGGCCGAAAAAGCAGAGGAAUGAAGGGACCAACGGCUGGAGCUUUGGUUUGGUCAUAAGGCCCCUGACAAGUUUCUAAAAUAUUCUGGGUCUCAGUUACCUCAGCUGUUUAAAUGAGAGAAGGAUCUGAUCAUCUAAAGCACAUGACUGUCGUAAGGAUACAGUGAUAUAACAGACACCAAAAGCUGUUACAGGGAGAGGUGUAAGUUGAGAGUUUGGCCAUAGAGACUGAGAAGUCCUGUAAGUGUCAGCCCACCUCUAAUGUGACCAUCUGCUUGGCCAUAGCUCUCUCCACUGCUUCGUACAUCUGUGUGUUCUGGAUCCCCAAGCCACAAAAGAUGACAAAAGCUUCCAGAAACUGUUCAUCAUUUCGGUUGAAAGGCUUAAUUUUGCCAGUGGUCUCCUCCAUCUUAUUAACAAGUUGGCAAACCCCUGUAAGAACCCAAGAAAUCAAGCAAAUGUUACUAUUCAUCAUCACAGCUCUCACUGACUUUAAGACCCCCCCCCACAAGACUGUCUCACACUUUUCUCUUAGGAAUGCUUGGUAUCUCCAAAUAAGUAAACGAAUCCUCACAAAUAUAAGCUAGAAAAGUCAUCUGAAUCAAUUUACAUGAGAACUUGUUUCACAUAGCCCUAAAUGUAUGUUGUCUGUGUUCAAAAAAUCCUAGAGUACUAUUUUCUUCCAGACUCGGUCGCGAAUUUCAGAUCAGCUGAGUCCCCAAAGACAAUUUGUCCUUUGGAAACUAAUUGGAUUUUUGUACAUUUGCCAAGAGAGCAAUUUUGAUGCACAUCAGAAUUUUGGGUCACACAGACUGCCUUUCCUUACUGAGAAACCAGAAGUUAAAUAACACAAUUACAUACAAAAUAGAAUGGAUGAAACAGACAAUUUACAUAGACAGUCUAAAGUUUCAAAUAUGCACCUCUGCAUCCAGGAGAAUCAUAUUUCCAAUCAUUUUUGAUACUACAGAUAAAUGCACAUAGAAAUGUUUGUUUAGUUAGAAAUAAAAGCAGAACUAAUCUUUGGAGACAAUCGUAACCUAACCUCCCAAAUCCUGGCCUUUCUUAGAAAGUCAAACACGUAGUUGAUAUGAAUGGAAGAUUACAUCAAAUCUUUAUUGAACUAGUUGUUCUAUGGGACUCUGAGGCUAGUGGUCUCUGUGAGGAGUUUGAUGACCUUCUACCUCUGGGUAACACACUGUUGUUAAAGUCCUCAUCUCUUCUGUCUCUGCAUAUGUAAUAUAGACUUCCAUCAUGUGCAUGUAGGUACAGUGCUUUAAUACACACAUGAACUCUAGUCUGCACAGUUUAUACUGUGAGAAAGGUGUGCCCAUGCCCAUUUUACAGAUGAAGAAACUGAGUCUCAGGAAGGUUAAGUCAUAUGCUCCAGGUCACUUAGCUAGUAUGCUUAUGUCUAAAAUUGAAACCCCAGCUCAGCCUAGCCCCAAAGGCUAGUUUAUUACCACAUUGCUGCUCUGUGCCUUUUCACCCCCGUCAGAUCAUUGCUAGCAGUUCCCUGACUGCAUUUUGCUUGCCCACACCUUUGCCUAUGCUUUUCCGCUGGCCUAUACUGCUCCCCACUGCUCUCUUUCCUGUUGUCCAAUAGAUCCCUACACAGCUCUCUUUCCUGUUGUCCAAUAGAGCCCUUCACAGCGAGCUCCCACAGGCCUCCCACUUCCCGGGUGAGGCAGGCACUUCUCCUUUCUAUCUCCUUAACUUUAUCAUUUGGAGUAUCAUGGGGGAUUUUAUUUCUGUCUUUCUUUCUGGACGUACAUAUCUUGGGCUUAGAGAUUUUAUUUUUUCAGUUCUACUUCCUCAGCCAGCAAUGCCUGGCAUAUAGCAGGACUCAAAAAAUGUUUACUGAGUUAAUGAAAGAAUGAAGGAUUGCGGCUCUGACCCAGACCACUUUCCCAUGAAGUCUAUAUUCUGUUAUAUCUUAUUUUUCCUGGAGCACAAAAGGAUUUUAUAGCGUCCGUGAUGAUGCAUGGUUGCACAUGAAAUCCCUUUAUUACCACUGGUGUGCACUUUAUCUUUAACCCUACAAAUUAUCUGUUUUCUCAUGUUGCUCUUUUUUGUUUGUGGGAGUUUUUCUACUUUAGACAGUAAAGGCAUCCUUAUCUAUCUGUAUUAGUACGGCAGAGAUUACUUCUCUAACACAUUCCAUUAUCAAGAAAAAUUUUAAACAAGACAUAAUGAAUCUGGACACUGCAAGUAAAAACUGUGAGUAAAUAUGGCAACCGGUAUUCAUUAUCUUAAAAGACCAUGUCCCAUGUACGGUAAAAAAGCCUGGGUUAUAUCCUCCAACCUUUGUGAAUCCCCAAAUUAUAAAUAUGGAACUGUUUAUAUAGGCUUCUGGCUAUCUCCCAAAUCACAUUUUCUUGAGGGUCACGCAUUCUGUGCCUUAUCCUCACAUCACAAUGUGACUGCCUUUCAAUUUUUACUAAAGUUUUCUCCUAGUUGAUGGCCAUUUUUCAUAACCGAGAUUUUUCUUUUUGUCACUGCAUAAGAUUGAUUGCAUGUAUGGGAAGGAAAAGACAACCCGGAGGGGUUGAGACGUGGCCAUCAGGCAGUCUGCUGGGCCUGGGACCGAGAAAUUCCUCAAUGUUUCUGGUCCAAUAAAGACUGAGCACUUCAUCCAUGAGAGGCACCCUUAGCAUCAUGGGGAGACAAACUUCUAGAGGUCAGUAGCUGUCAUAAGGCACUUGUAAUCUCGUAGAGGACUGUGACAGAGAAUGAAUAAUAAUACAGUGUCUAGUUGCAUGUCCUCUUUGAGCAGAGUCUAGUGCAGAAGCCCCCAGCUGUCCCUCAGUAACUCUUCUCCCUUUCUCUUUAUCUAGACACAUGGCCGCUGAGGAUAAAGACUACAUUUAUCAGCCACCCCAGUGGCUUGGGAUCAUCAUGUGACGAUGUAAGUUCUAGGCAACAGGAAAUGUGACUGCUUCUAGAAAGCUUACCUAAAAGGCAGCUGAGGCAUGCUCUCUGCCCCUUCUUUCCCUGCCCCCCAUCCUACCAUUUGAAACGUGGAUAUGAAGGCUGGAGCUGCAUCCUGGACCCUGGAAGGGAAGGGCCACUCCCUAGAGAUGCAGAGUAGAAAGCCUGCAGGUACCUGGGUCCCUGAGGCCUUUGUAGAACAGAACAGCAACACAGAGCCUGAGCUGCCUGCCUCUGGGUCUUUACAGGAGAGAGUAAUAAUAUUGCAUUCUUAUUUAAGCUAUUUUUACUUUGGGUUUUUAUGAUUCACACUCAAACCUAAUCCUGACUAAUACAAUUGGUAACAAUGAAAGCACCACAUGUGGAGAAGAUGGACAGAUAACUCCUUGGUGGAGUGGGUUGGAGAAGACGGGGUAUUAGGGAAAUGCGCAAAAGGCUGGUAAGAUUUAAGGAUGCAUAGAAAGACGUCAAGAAUGAAAAGAAGGGUGAAAAACAGUAUAAAAACAUUGCUGAAAUGGAAGAGUUCUAGGUAUAUUUGGGAAACAUUAAACAGCUACAGAUUGUUAGGAAUAAAGUGAUGGUUUCAGGCUGAAGAUGUUAGGACAGGUAGUGGAUGAUUUUGAAAGUGCAAUGCAAAGGGAUAGGAUCUUCCUUUAAAUAACAGGAAUAUUCUGGUAGUCUUGCAAAUGUGCCUCUCAGACCUACAACUGCAGGAGACCUAAAUGACCAGUGUCUCUAGUCACUGUGCUCUGAAACCCAGGACUGUGUUUGUACUGCAGACACACUUCCCAGGGCUGCUCCUGGAAAAAGAUGGAGCACACACAGCAGGGGCACUAAAGUAGCCCAGGCUUGGGAGACCCAGGAUGCUUUGGCUACAGAACUCCCCAACAGCCUGGCCAAACUUUCCUUAGAACUGCUCGGCUGCCUAAGACACUUCCACACAAUGCUCUUUCCUUCUUUACCCUCUCUUUCACUCUGGGUCAGACUUGUGUGGGGAGCUCACGGCUCUCUCAUCCCCUCCCAGUUCCCUCCCCCUUUACUCUCACAUGGGGUUCCCCUAAUAAAUGUCUUACACAUUUAAUCUAGUCUUGGCAUCUGCUUCUUGGAAGGCCUGGGCUAACUCAGACCUCUAAGGUUUUUUGCACAGUGGAUAUCGAGGGAGGUGUACGUGAGUACAUCCUUGGGAAGACAGUCAGGGACACGAAGCUUGGAAACACUGAGAAACUUCUGUGCUUUUAGAUGUAAAUGGGAAUCACUUCAGGUUAUGUGAACCAAAGACAGAAAUAACACAUCAAAGAGACACAGAAAUACUAACACUUACUGACUACUUACUAUGUGCUGGAAAUUUUCUGAAGCAUUUUAUGUGCAUUAACUCAUUUGGUCCUUUCUACAAUCCUGCCAUCAGUAUCUCCAUUUUACAGAUGAAGAAACUGAGGCUUUGAGAGGUUAAAUAAUUCACACAAAGCACUAUAGCUAGUAAGUGGUGGAACUUAAGUUUAAAUACAAUCAGUCUGAUUUCAGAGUCUAUACUCUUACACUCUGUAUCUACGAUUUUUUAAAGUAGUAAAAACCUUUCUACUAUUUUAAAAAUAGUGGGUGUUACUGUAUUUAACUAUAAUUGUUUUCCAAUAUCGUUAUAACUAAUAAGUAUUAACUGGUAUAUGUAUUCCAAGAAAGUGAAUUUAAAGGAGUAAUUCUAUGUAUUUGUCAUUUUAUGACAAAAUGUGCAUUUAAAAUUAACAUGAAGUUAACUGAUAUGGAAUUAUAGCACUAAAAUACCUAUUUCUUAAAAUUAAGAGCUAACAUAAACUGUACCCCAUCACACUCACUUUUUCCUUUGAAUCGAAGCAUAGAAACUCUAAAACCUCCCACCAUCUGGAAAUGAGCUUCCCUUCUGAAUUCCUGGGUGACCCAAACUCCAACAGUUUACUGUGCUUUAUCCCAGUGAUGAUAUGAUUCUAACAAUUAUGUGUAAUGUUUACCCUGAAUAUUUUUUAUUUUUACACUUAACAUUUCAAAAUAUUAAGUGUAAACAGUUCUUUCAAAACUGUCUUCAAUACAUUAUUUUAAUUUAUAAAAGGCAAUUAGUGGGUUGGCUGGAAAAGUACCUCACUGAUACAUAACUGCCUAAAAAGGAUGAUUUGCUUACUGCUAACAUCAUCAAAUUGCCUAGCACUUCAUCUCAUGGAAGAGUGCUUGGAUUGACAAAGUGUUUAAUAGUGAGAAUUGGAGAGGCCUAAAUUCUAUCAAUAAGCAAUUUUAGAAACAUAAUACAGAAUCUGCUGGUCAAGUGUCAAUACCAGUUAGUCCUUCAAAAAGCUGAAGUUACUAAACACCAUUUUAAUUCGGAGUUUUCACAAAAUUAAGACUGAAAUCUAAUUUUAUUAAAAUAAAACCAUAUUUACAUCACUAAGAGGACUUUUAUUGCGUCAUUAUAAUAAAGGCUAACUAUUAGCUAAUGUAAGGCACUGGUGUUGAAUAAUUUUCAUUACUGUAAAAUCAGUUAAUGAAUCAGUUUAAAUGAUCCAUGUAAAUUAGUCUCUUUUAAGGUAACCACACUGACCUAUUUAUCCUUUAUAAAACAAUCUUUAUACUAAGACUGUCUUGGUAUAAUUUUUAAAAGUGGAAAGAUAUCUUCCAUUUUUCCUACAGAGAAGGAACGUGAUAUUCAUCAGAAACAAAGUAAAAGUGCUAACAAAAGAUCAAGAUGAAAUAAAUAA